rnacentral:lncRNA from 1 species
AAGGAAAGCCUGAAUGUUCUUCCCAUCAUCAGCCUAAGGCUAGUUUGGUAUUACCGAAGAUAAUGCACUGUAUCCAGGCAGAAGCACUACAAAAAGAUCAAACAUUCCACUUCAUCAUCCACAAAUACUUUGAUGCUACCAUAGGCAAGAAGAAUAGAGGAAAAGAAGCAAAAGGACACUUUAAAAUAGAAUACAGAAAAGAAAGAGAUUAUACACUGAACUGCUAUAAAUUACUGCCGGUAAAGCUGAGAAAUCCCAAAACACUAGAGAUGUAGCAAUCUGGUAAUGCAAGUAGAGAUUUAAACUUCAUCGAACAACCUUACCUCCCCCCGUGUAUUCUUGGAGAAAUAUACUCCCUGCUGUUCACAUAUUAGUUUCACGAGGAAGAGAAAUGUGAGGGUGGCCAACAAAUAAGCUAUUCACAGUUAUAUGAGUAUGAUUUACCCAAGUGUGAAUGCACUCAUGGGAGAACUGACAGGCAAGCCCCAAUUAGUUUACAAAAAAUUAUUUAAAAGCAACACCUCACAGUUGAGGUAUAAGUAAUCUCAAAGUCAGCUUUUAUCUUUUUACUUUCUAUCUCAUGAAUUUAGAGUUUUGCUUUUUUUAAACAGCAAGUGGAUAAUGAUAUCUCCUAAUAAUUUCCUUAAUUAUUCAUUCAAAUAGUAAAUGUUAAUUUCUUUCAGGCUGAGCACUUUCUCUGAGGUAAAGCAUCACUGUUGUUGCUUCUCUUCAUCCUCC